UUGAACGCUGGCGGCAUGCUUUACACAUGCACGUCGAACGGUAACAGGCCGCAAGGUGCUGACGAGUGGCGAACGGGUGAGUAAUGCAUCGGAACAUGCCCAGUCGUGGGGGAUAACUACUCGAAAGAGUAGCUAAUACCGCAUACGAUCUAUGGAUGAAAGCGGGGGACCGUAAGGCCUCGCGCGAUUGGAGCGGCCGAUGUCAGAUUAGGUAGUUGGUGGGGUAAAGGCUCACCAAGCCAACGAUCUGUAGCUGGUCUGAGAGGACGACCAGCCACACUGGGACUGAGACACGGCCCAGACUCCUACGGGAGGCAGCAGUGGGGAAUUUUGGACAAUGGGCGCAAGCCUGAUCCAGCAAUGCCGCGUGCAGGAAGAAGGCCUUCGGGUUGUAAACUGCUUUUGUACGGAACGAAACGGCUCUGGUUAAUACCCGGGGCUAAUGACGGUACCGUAAGAAUAAGCACCGGCUAACUACGUG
rnacentral:rRNA from 1 species